ACACAAACUGAGAGACAGAAGAUUGUGUCUGAAUUUCAGCAACUGCGGCAGUUCCUGGAGGAACAAGAGCUACUCUUGCUGGCCCAGCUGGAGAAGCUGGAAAAGGAGAUUCUGAAGAUACAGAAUGACAAUGCCAGUAAACUCUCCGAGGAGAUUUCCUGUCUCAGAUACCUGAUCAGUGAGCUGGAGGGGAAGGGUCAGGAGCCAGCAAGUGAAUUCCUGCAGGAUAUCAAUAGCACCUUGAGCAGGUGCGAGAAGGGGAAGUUCCAGCAGCCCUUGGAGAUUUCUCCUGAACUGGAGAAGAGACUCAGCAAUUUCUCCCACCAAACUGUUUCUCUAACGGAGACUCUGAGGAAAUUCAAGGGUACUGAGGAGGGAUCUACAAGGGGAAAUUGGGAUGAGCCUCUGAGACUGG